UGCAGGAAUCUAUCUGAUUGGUCAGCUGAGACUAUGGAAUCAUUGGGUCCUUUAAUCCUUUGGGACGACAAUGCCACAUCUGCUCUGCCCAAUAAGACUUGGAUGAAGGACGUUAUCUAUUUCCUGAAGUCGGGCCUGAAACGCACCUCCAAGGCCCUGCGAAGGAAAAUCUUCGAUCUCAUCAUUACCGCAUCAGCCACAAGUAACGGUAACGAUGUAAAAGAACUCACUGUGGAGAUGAUUGAAGAACUGGGAAUGAACAACAUCUACUUGACAGCUGCACAGCUGGAUGGGAUGUCAGACACAACCUUCCUUGCUACUUUAGAAACACUCAGAACCGUCUCUGGCUACAAGGCAGACCGGCUGGCCGUGCUCAGAAACAAAGCAGUCAAGACCUUGGGCCCGGUGUCACAGAUGAAUGAGAGUGUGGUGAUGCAGAUGGGAUGUAUAACUCAGGGCUUCUCCAACACAGACCUGAAGAUGCUCCCCUUCUCACUGGACUCUCUAGAGGAUAUUGCUAACUGUGGGUGGAAGGAGUCCCAGAUGGAGUCGGUGUGGAAGGGUGUUGCUAAAUAUAACAACUUGACAGCGCAGCAGCUGGGAGCUGCAGACAUUGUAGCACUGAGCCAGUUCAUCUGUGGCCUAAACUCCAACGAGUUCAGACAGCUUAGCAUUGAAGCCUUCAGGGAUGCUGUGGGCUCAAUGAAAAGUGUUGAAUGCUCCUACAAGGUUGCACAGCAUUUGAAAAGUAAUGCUGUGUCUGCAAAUGGAAGUCCCAACACCUGGACUGAAGCACAAGUGUAUGAGCUGGGCAACAUCAUUGGUUAG
rnacentral:lncRNA from 1 species